rnacentral:rRNA from 1 species
GAUGAACGCUGGCGGCGUGCCUAAUACAUGCAAGUCGAGCGAACAGAUCAGGCGCUUGCUCCUUUGACGUUAGCGGCGGACGGGUGAGUAACACGUGGGUCACCUACCUAUAAGACUGGAAUAACUCCGGGAAACCGGGGCUAAUGCCGGAUAACCUUUAGAACCGCAUGGUUCUAAAGUGAAAGAUGGUUUUGCUAUCACUUAUAGAUGGACCCGCGCCGUAUUAGCUAGUUGGUAAGGUAACGGCUUACCAAGGCAACGAUACGUAGCCGACCUGAGAGGGUGAUAGCCCACCCGGGAGCUGGGACGGGGACAUGAGGACUGAGAGAGGCACCAGAAGGGAAUGGGACGCAGUGGGCGGAAACAUGGCGGAACAGGGCGGCGUGAGUGAUGAAAAUCUUCGGAGCGGGAAGAUCGGUUAUGAGGGAAAAACAAAUGUGGAAGUAACUGUGCACGGCUUGACGGUACUGAAUAAGAAAGCCACGGCUAACUACGUG